rnacentral:piRNA from 1 species
UGCAAAAUAUUCGUAGAAUGGCUCCAUA